AAAGAAAUCAAUAGAGAUUCCCCUAGUAGCUGCGAGCGAACAGGGAGAAGCCCGAGACCGAAUCCCGUUGCACCCAGUGCUUCGGGACCUGUAGUCUAAGGGGCGGUUCCGCGAUUGCAAAGGCUGGUGCUCACAGGCUGAGAUCCUGGUGCAUAGGGCGUUACACACGACCGACUGGCUGGAGCUAACAAGGGGCUGCCCCGCGAGUAGGUUAGCUUGAAAGUGCUAGCUGAAUACGGGUGGUGCUGACCAUCCAAGGCUAAAUAUGAAAGCAGGUAACCGAUAGCGAACAAGUACCGUAAGGGAAAGCUGAAAAGCACCUCGUUUGAGGAGUUAAAAGUGCAUGAAAUCCGCC
rnacentral:rRNA from 1 species